rnacentral:rRNA from 1 species
UACAGAGGGUGCAAGCGUUAAUCGGAAUUACUGGGCGUAAAGCGUGCGCAGUCGGUUAUUUAAGUCGGGCGUGAAAGCCCCGGGCUCAACCUGGGAAUUGCGUUCGAUACUGGAUAGCUAGAGUUCGGCAGAGGGAAGCGGAAUUCCCGGUGUAGCGGUGAAAUGCGCAGAGAUCGGGAGGAACACCGGUGGCGAAGGCGGGAUCCUGGGCCAGUACUGACGCUGAGGAGCGAAAGCGUGGGGAGCAAACAGG